GACCUUCAGGUUUUUACGUGCCCAAUAUUUAAACAAGACAGAUUCUCGAAACCCUCCCAUUUCAAUUCUCUUUAUCUAUCUCUCUCCCGUAGAAACUUAGUUUCUCUAACUCUCUCUCUCUCUCGAACGAGAAAAAUUCUCUGGGAAAACCACAAUCCGAGGUUUUGAAAGAUUCUUAUCGUCAAUUUCAUUUGGAUUCAGGAGUAUAUUGUGGUUGUUGUCAUGGAAAGCAUCAGCAUCAAAACAUGGAUGAUUUGGAGGCGUUUCUCGGCCAAAAGAGUAGUGAAUUUGUGUCCUGGUUUAUCUCUUUUAUCAUGUGCUUUGAUAUCUGCUUCAGUUGAUGCUUAACUGCAUAUUCGUCUAAAAAUUGGAUGCUUACUCCCAAUAUUUGCAUAUAUAGGAUGCGUUUUGUGGCUAAGCAUGAUAUGAGGAGAUGAUAGUUCAUUGGCUCAUAUUAGGAGGUUAAAGCUAUCACCAUAUUCCAAGGUAUGCUGGUACUGGCUAGGAAUGGUGAAGGAUCAGUAGGUACUCUCGCAAAUCUUGUAUUUUCUGGUAUUGGGGCAAGUCUAUAUGCCUCUGCCUCGUGACAUUGUCACAUUUGCUGUAACAUAUUUAUCAUUCAAUCUGUUCUAUGAUUAUGUGGUUACAUUACAUAUGAUCAUAGGUAGGCAUCAGUAAGAGUGACUCAACUUCGACAAAUGAUCAUAGUUGUUGGCAAAGAUCAGAAGACAUGAAUUAUCCCCUUCCGUCGAAAUGAUCAUUGAUACUUUGUUUUCUACAGAACGGUGUAAAAAUAAGGUCAUCUUGAUGUCUGCAAAGUAGAAUGGAAAGAAAAUGGUGCAGGGGGGAGCUUUAAAAGCUCUAGCACCAGUAGCUGAUUAGUCACUAGUACCUUGUGGCAUCUGCCUGACAUUUUAUAUGCAUCUGUGUAUCUUACCUUUGAAGAUGAAGGAGGUGCUCAAAGCAAGGGGAUCGGGAUAAAGCUUAUGGAUAGUCUCUAUCAAACUGGAUAAAGCUCGAGUUUCUUCCUUAUGUCUUUUGAUUGUAGGGGCUGUCUUCUAAUUAGACAGUCUUUAUAUCUUUGGUGACACAAAGAACUUUGUUUCUGUUGGUGGCAGCAUUACCGAAGUUCGAAGGUUCCAUUCUAGUUUCCAUACCGCACAGAGUGGUUUAACCUUGACCAAGGUAAACCAUUGCUCCUGUGCUUUAAUUUUUGUUAUGCUUCUUGUUUUUCUUCUCUUCCCUCUUUUUAUGGUUAAUAUGGUAUAUUCUUAUUUUUACAUAUAUUUGAUUUGUCUGCAUAGCUUAGGGUAAGAAUUUUAUGCUAGCUAUUGAACAAGUACUAGGUUAUUAGUUCUGGAUGUUGGCCCUUGAUUUCAAGGUACAGGGCAUGUUUAUGUACUCAAUCCCUUGGAGAGGACAUGACCCUAACAUGGAAAUUGUUCCAAGUAAGUUAGUCAUUUUCGUUCGGAUAGAUAAUACUUGUUUCUUGGUUGCUAGAAAGGCCAAUUCUGCUUAGGGUACUUGCCUGUCUUUCUCUGUCUCAGCUCAUCAAUACGUCCAGCAUUAGAGGUUUGUGUAUGUCCCUAUUGUCUAUAUCUAUUUUAUUCUGAAUGGGGUCACUUGUACAAACUUGUUUUCGUGGUAACCAGGAUUAUUAUUCAGCUUGCAGGGUUGUGAAAGCUUGCUGCAGAAGAAGGCAUACAAAAUACUUGUCUCGAGGUUGUCAUGGAUUGUGCAAGUCUCUGGCUUUGCAGCUUUAACAUCAUUCUCCAGUGUUAGUGGUUGACACUAUUUGCUUGAUCUUACUUGUAGUGCUUCAGGGAAUAGUCUAAAUGAGCUUGUUCUGAUAUUAAGGAUCUGUGUUUUGGUACCCUUGAUUUGAGUUAAACAAGUAGAUUCUGCAGAAAUGUGUAUUUUUUUCUGUUUUCUUGUUCAGGAAUGAAUUUGGUUCAGACGACAAUGGAAUAUAUAGUUUUUCUAUUA